rnacentral:SRP_RNA from 1 species
CCAGUCGGGGCAGUAGCGGCGUCCUGAACCUGAAAUCCGCUGAAGCAGGGAUAGAUUCCGGACUUGAGGGUCUGUGUUCUUUCAGCCUGUCGUGUCGGUUUUGUGUUGAGGUUCGGGCCUUGCGCAAUUACUCCUCAUGAACCAUGUCAGGCGGGGAACCGAGCAGCAUUAAGUGAUACGGGUGAUGUGCCGUAAGCAAACCUGGGCUGAGCAAAAUC